rnacentral:pre_miRNA from 1 species
UAAAUACUCCCUCCGUCCGGAAAAGCUUGUCCCAAGCUUGUUCCAGUUGGUGCUAGAUACAUCCAUUUGAGGGACAAGUUUUUUCGGACGGAGGGAGUAGAAG